rnacentral:lncRNA from 1 species
UUCUGACUAUUCAUAUGUAUCGAAUUUAGCUAAAUGAUUUCCUGUACCUAUCAAAAGAAUCACGUUUUUCUUUCUAUCUUUAAUGUAUCAAAUAAGAUAAUCUAUUCCUUGAGAUUUUUGUAAAAAACUCACCUUAAAAUUUGUCUAGACCUGGUUGUCAACUGUUAAAAAACAUUUUACUGAAAUUUAUUAUUAGAGCUUGGGCCACAUGGUGAAAUCCCUGUCUCUACAAAAAAUACAAGAAAUUAGCCAGGCAUGAUGGUACUCACCUAUAGUCCCAGCUACUCCAAGGCUGAGGUUGGAGAAUCACCUGUGCCCGGGAGGUUGAGGCUGCAGUAAGCUGAGAUCAUGCCACGUCACUCCACAAUAAUUUCUACAUACCUAUGAAUGUUCACAAAGUUAAUAUACCUUUAUUCUCAGUGCUCUACAAAGAAAGAGAACAUUACUAGCACCCCAGAAAACUCCUUCAUAUCCCUUCCAAUCACUGUCUCCUCCUCCACCAGGGACAGCCUCUGUUCUAACUUCAAAUAGCAUGGACUAAUUUACCCGCUUUGUGCUUUAUAUAAAUUGAAUAGGACAAGAUAUACUCUUCCUGUGUCUGAAAUUUUUUGCCCAAUGCUAUGUUUUCCAAAAUGCAUCCAUGUUGUCACGUCGGUGUAGAUAAUUCCUUCUCAUUGUUACACAGUUUUACUUCGUGUGAACAAGACUAUUUAUUUUUCCAUUCUGUUCUUGAGGGACUCUGGAAGUAGUUUCCAGUUUGGGGUUCUUAUAGAUAGUGUUAACAAUCUAGUACAUGACCUCCUGUCCUUUUAUUAAAGAGGGAGGUGUGUUGUGGGAACUACUAUUUUUAGUAAGAACUGAAAAUUUUAAAUAAUUUCCGAUUCAUUUGUCUACUUUUUUCUUUGGUCAAUUUUGUUUAUAUUUUUUCUUUGAAGUUAUUAAUUUAUCUAAGCUUUUAGAUUCUAGAUAGGUGUAAAUUUGUUCAUAAUAUUUUCAUAUGAUUUUUAAAAGUCUGAAUAUGUCUCUAAAAUCUUAGCAUUAUUCUAACUAGCAUGAAUUUAGACUCUUAUUCUUUCUCUGGCUAUUUUUUGUUCUGGUUUGUUUUACUAUUUUGUUUUCUUUCAACAGUCAUCCUUAUAAUAUCUUUUCUUUUGCUUCUUUUAGGUUUACAAUAUUUUUCUUUACUUUUAUUAAACAUGUUGCUUAUUUCCAGCUUUUCUCGUGUAUGUGGUUAAUAGAUAAAUGUAACUAAUGCUUUAUAUUUUGUCUUAAGUCCCACUUUAGAUGCAUCCCAUGUGCUUUGAUGUGCUGAGAUUUUGUUGACAGUCAUAAAUAUUUUGUAAUGUCUAUUGUAAUUCUCUCAUUGACUAGAGAUUAUUAAGACACAACUAUAUAGCUACUUAUGAGAACCUUUGUCUUACUGGGAACACAGUCAGCUGUUAUUUCCCUUUGCAGUUGUAAGUGGCCACAAUUGCAUUGCAGCCAACAAAAUGUGAUCAGAUGUGAUGUCCAUUAUCACCUUUCCUGAUCCCUAAGAACUCCCACACUUGACCCUCCAUGCUCUUCUGCCUUCCCCUGGCUUCAUGCAGACGAGCUCACAGACCUUGGAAAUCAAGCACUGAAGACAGAUGAAGCAAAAGGGAGAAAAUGAACUGCUCACAAAAAAUAAACACCCCUUGGAGGCUCUCAUUGAGGAAUAAA